CACGUAGGGCGCAAGCGUUGUCCGGAAUUAUUGGGCGUAAAGAGCUCGUAGGCGGUCUGUUGCGUCUGCUGUGAAAACUCGGGGCUUAACCCCGAGCCUGCAGUGGAUACGGGCAGACUAGAGGUAGGUAGGGGAGAAUGGAAUUCCCGGUGUAGCGGUGAAAUGCGCAGAUAUCGGGAGGAACACCGGUGGCGAAGGCGGUUCUCUGGGCCUUACCUGACGCUGAGGAGCGAAAGCAUGGGGAGCAAACAGG
rnacentral:rRNA from 1 species